CAAUAGCGUAUAUUAAAGUUGUUGCAGUUAAAAAGCUCGUAGUUGGAUUUCUGGUUGAAGCGACCGGUCGGGCGUUGAUUCGUCUGCACUGGAGUCGGUUUUGGCCAUCCUCUAGGAAAGUGCGUCUGGUAUUAAGUUAUCGGGCGUAUGAUCCUGGUCUUUUACUGUGAAAAAAUUAGAGUGUUUAAAGCAGGCCUUCGCCUUGAAUACAUUAGCAUGGAAUAAUAAGAUAGGACUUUGGUCUAUUUUGUUGGUUUGCAGACCGAAGUAAUGAUUAAUAGGGAUAGUUGGGGGUAUUUAUAUUCCGAUGUCAGAGGUGAAAUUCUUAGAUUUUCGGAAGAUAAACUUAUGCGAAAGCAUUUACCAAGGAUGUUUUCAUUNA
rnacentral:rRNA from 1 species